CAAUAAUCGAUUCCAGAAACAUGGAUUCAGCCUCCGAAAGUAAACAUAUAGGAAAGCUUCUCCGAGGGGAACUCACAAGAGAUGUUUUGGGAAACACGGGUGGAAAAGAGUGAGAGAUCUACGACUGAUCGUGUUCGGGUUGAGCCCCGGUGAAAGGAAGAGAGGAGAGGAGAGGAGAGGAGUGGUGCGGCGCGGCGCGGCGGAGGCCUGGCUGAGAGGCCCGGCGUCGGCUCCUCGGGUCAUCGCAGAGGCGUCUCCGAGCAGAUAUGCAAACGAUCUCCGUCUCCUCGUGGCGACCCUUGGCAGACCGCACCCAUCCCUACCAUAAGUGCUCUCCACCACCCCCCAUCACAGGCACGGACCACUUCUGCCCACCACCCCACCCAAAGCAACUAACAGAGGACAAUCAAUACUUCAUGCACAGCCAUGACCGGGGGAAUGUUGGCCGUCCCAGACUGGAAUGGCAGAGGAGGAAGGACAGUAUCACCACUCCGUCAUGCGACACAUCAAAUUAAUAUCCUUAAAAGAGGUCGGGAUCGAUUAGGUGUCAUCUUCCAACGGCACCGGUGAUUUGCACCCCUCAUGCACCGGGCAGAGAGAGAGAGAGAGCUUGUAAAAAUUCCUCCACAUUGGAGAGUUUGUCAGCAUCGGACAGAUGCACUUUAUCAACCACUUUUCAUUCUUCAGCAACAGAAGGGGCUCUUGGGAUUUAUUUAGUCAAAUGUGAGGUUAAAACCGAAGAGCCGCUGGCAAAUAACAUUCUCAUAAUGGCUGUAUUUUGCUUCACUGUGCGGGUUAUGUCCAAAUGCAAAAUAAAAUAUUUUCUUCGACACGCGUUUCAACUUGGGUAAAUGGUUUAAAGUAGCACUUUCAUUCUAGUCCAUGAUUAUUUUGUUGUUUUUUUUUUGCAUGCUUUAAAUGACUAUGUGUCAUAGGUUAAUUAUAUCUUUCAAAAGCCCAAACCUCAAGUCUGAAUAAUACAAAAACUUUUGACAGUCUGGAAAUCAGACAGACAACAUUUAGAGAGUACCAUCAGGUAGAAGGGCUCACAUUAACCCCUUGAUCACACACACAUAAAACAUAAUGAGCUCCUUCUCCAGUGGAGAGUUUGCAAAAGCAUGUACUUCACACAAUGGGAGAACAAAACACAAGCUGAAAAAAAUAAAGCUGUAGAAGGGGGGAAAAAGAAAUACCACAAACCGGUUUAAGGGAUGAAAGAUAUUCAUAAGACUGCUGUUCAAAAUAAACUAUUAUAAUGACCAAUUAUUUGGACCAUUUAGCCACCUCUUGCAACCCAAGACUUUGUGGUUUUAGUUUCUUUUGCAAAUACAUAAUUCACAUAACAAAGUUCACGCUGCAAAACACAUAUUUCCACAGUAAAUCUCAAAAGUGGAGAUUAUAAAUGUGGUUUAUGCGGAAUAAUAAACAUUUGUUGGUUUUGAGUAACCGUCCCAGUGUACCGCAUUUCUUGGCCGAGCUCGCGGAGUCGAAAGGGAACAAAACAAGCUUAGAGUAGCAAAGAGCAGCAGGCUGGGCUGAGGGCAAAGAGCAGCAGGCUGGGGUGAGGGUUUCCUGGGGAAGGCCCUGCUGAUGGCCCCCGUGCCUCUCUGCCCUUGUCCUGUCC
ensembl:lncRNA